GCUCAGGACGAACGCUGGCGGCGUGCCUAAUACAUGCAAGUCGAGCGGACAGAUGGGAGCUUGCUCCCUGAUGUUAGCGGCGGACGGGUGAGUAACACGUGGGUAACCUGCCUGUAAGACUGGGAUAACUCCGGGAAACCGGGGCUAAUACCGGAUGCUUGUUUGAACCGCAUGGUUCAAAUAUAAAAGGUGGCUUUUAGCUACCACUUACAGAUGGACCCGCGGCGCAUUAGCUAGUUGGUGAGGUAACGGCUCACCAAGGCAACGAUGCGUAGCCGACCUGAGAGGGUGAUCGGCCACACUGGGACUGAGACACGGCCCAGACUCCUACGGGAGGCAGCAGUAGGGAAUCUUCCGCAAUGGACGAAAGUCUGACGGAGCAACGCCGCGUGAGUGAUGAAGGUUUUCGGAUCGUAAAACUCUGUUGUUAGGGAAGAACAAGUACCGUUCGAAUAGGGCGGUACCUUGACGGUACCUGACCAGAAAGCCACGGCUAACUACGUGCCAGCAGCCGCGGUAAUACGUAGGUGGCAAGCGUUGUCCGGAAUUAUUGGGCGUAAAGCGCGCGCAGGCGGUUUCUUAAGUCUGAUGUGAAAGCCCCCGGCUCAACCGGGGAGGGUCAUUGGAAACUGGGGAACUUGAGUGCAGAAGAGGAGAGUGGAAUUCCACGUGUAGCGGUGAAAUGCGUAGAGAUGUGGAGGAACACCAGUGGCGAAGGCG
rnacentral:rRNA from 1 species